GGUUGCUUCAAAACUGCAUUUUCCAGCUUUCCAAGGAGCUGUGUGGAUUCCAUAUCCUAGAGAAGUCGACACCGUUCUAGUAAGUUGGCAUGGACCCCAGGUCCUACCCUUAAGGGCUUAAUACUCUGAUGCAAUAUAUAAAAUAUAAUUUAAUAAAAGACUGAGGCAGUAUUUGUGUACCAAGUGUCUAUAGCAAGUACCAAGGUAUUUGCAUGGAUUGGGGGUGGUAGCAAGUGUGUGAUAUUCUCCUUCUAAAUCCCCUGCGUGUGGGGAUGGAAUUUUUAACAGUGGGCGAUGUGAUAGGACGAUCAGAGAUAUGCAAAACCACCUUUUUAGUGGUGGGACACAGUCACAGUUGUAUUCCUUCUGGGCAAAACAGAGUAUCCUACAGAUUGGAACAGUGACCAACGGCAUCUUUAAGGAGGAGAAAUUUGAAAUGGGUUCUAAAGGAAUAGAUACCCAGGCAUCAAAGAGAAGCAAAGACAUUUUUGAUGAAGGGCAUAGUGCAAACCAAGGUUGGUGGCUGGAAAAUGUCAGAUCCUUUGAGGAUAUGAGGCUGGAAAGUCAGUCUGGGUUGGUGAGGACUCACUGCUGGGCUGCUGUGGGCAUGAGAUGUCCUUGGGGAGGUACAGACUUCCUGAAGUGACUUAGCUAACAAGCGGCAGAGCCAGGAUUUGAACCAAGAUCUCUGCCCAACUUCAAAGCAUGGUCUUGCUCUUCAUAAAGGUGUUCUCAUCUGCAGGUCUCUGCUGUUCCUUGGAAUACACACAAAAUUAACUCCUCCGACAAAAUGAAGAUGCAUCACUUUUACCUCGGAAAACGACGGAAACUCCAAGGCAAGGUGGCCUCCCGAAGUGGCCUUUUCCCUUCCCUCCUCAUCCCUGGGCUGUUUCCAGCAGACGGCAGUGAACGCCUAAAUGAGGGUUUGAUCAAUGGAGGCCAAGCUGAUAUUGACAAAGCAGCUGCAGUUUCCGCAAAUCACCCAGCACUCAUAGAUACUGAAGAUUAA
rnacentral:lncRNA from 1 species